rnacentral:lncRNA from 1 species
GUGUUAUUUGGCUGCAAUGAGGUCUCAUGACUGUUUAUGUGGUGGCUCGCUGCUCAGGACAUG